GAUGAACGCUGGCGGCGUGCCUAAUACAUGCAAGUCGAGCGAACAGACGAGGAUCUUGCUCCUCUCUCGUUAGCGGCGGACGGGUGAGUAACACGUGGAUAACCUACCUAUAAGACUGGGAUAACUUCGGGAAACCGGCUCUAAUACCGGAUAAUAUAUUGCACCGCAUGGUUCAAUAGUGAAAGUCGGUUUUGCUGUCACUUCUAGAUGGAUCUGCGCCGCAUUAGCUAGUUGGUAAGUUAACGGCUUACCAAGGCAACGAUGCGUAGCCGACCUGAGAGGUGGAUCGGCCACACUGGAACUGGAACACGGUCCAGACUCCUACGGGAGGCAGCAGAAGGGAAUCUUACGCAAUGGGCGGAAGCCUGACGGAGCAACGCCGCGUGAGUGAUGAAGGUCUUCGGAUCGUAAAACUCUGUUAUUAGGGAAGAACAAAUGUGUAAGUAACUAUGCACGUAUUGACGGUACCGAAUCAGAAAGCAACGGCUAACUACGUG
rnacentral:rRNA from 1 species